GCAGGACUGGUCUAGCGGUAUGAUUCUGGCCUUCCAAGCCAGCGGUCCGGGUUCGAUUCCCGGGUCCUGCA
rnacentral:tRNA from 1 species